rnacentral:rRNA from 1 species
AUUGAACACUGGCGGCAUGCUUUACACAUGCAAGUCGAACGGCAGCGCGGGCUUCGGCCUGGCGGCGAGUGGCGAACGGGUGAGUAAUACAUCGGGACGUGCCCAGUAGUGGGGGAUAGCUCGGCGAAAGCCGGAUUAAUACCGCAUACGACCUGAGGGUGAAAGCGGGGGAUCUUCGGACCUCGCGCUAUUGGAGCGGCCGAUGGCAGAUUAGCUAGUUGGUGGGGUAAAGGCCUACCAAGGCAACGAUCUGUAGCUGGUCUGAGAGGACGACCAGCCACACUGGGACUGAGACACGGCCCAGACUCCUACGGGAGGCAGCAGUGGGGAAUUUUGGACAAUGGGCGAAAGCCUGAUCCAGCAAUGCCGCGUGUGUGAUGAAGGCCUUCGGGUUGUAAAGCACUUUUGGCGGGAACGAAAAGGACUGUGCCAAUACCACGGUUCGAUGACGGUACCCGCAGAAUAAGCACCGGCUAACUACGUG